CCCUCGUCCAACAGAUCGCCAUUCGAAGCUCACAAACAGAGACACUCUCCGAGCGUCUCAAUCCUCUUGCUUUGGGAGAAAGUCCCCGGACACGUCUUCUCCUCACGGAAGGACAUUGCGGAAACGCGCCGCCACAGAAGCACUGCGGCUGACCUCCCGGCCCUGUCCUCAGUCAGUCCUCCUCUGCCCUGCCCCGCCGCUACAUCGGUCAGGCUUUUCUCGCUCGGAGUCUAGUCGGGUAGCCUUGAGACCUCAUGGACGAAGAUAUGAGUCCGCGCUCUUGGCCGCUUGAUUGGAUCCUCCGUGAGAGGAAGGUCUGUUCGAUGGCGGGGUAGACGUGGGUGUCGAUGCGUGCUGUGGGCGCCAAAGGGGCCUGGGAGGGUUUUUCGUCGAGCACGAUAGAUAUGCGAUCGCCCGGCCUCACCAGCUGGGAGUACUCGAUGGGGCUCAUUCUUGGCGCGAGG
rnacentral:RNase_MRP_RNA from 2 species